UUUUAAGGUAAAACUUUAAACUUUGGAACAUUGAAACAGGCUAAGAAAAAUAAUUGGAUAGAAAAUAUUACUCUAUUCAUUUAUCUCCCAGCCUACAAAA
rfam:Pteropus alecto contig65977, whole genome shotgun sequence.